AAUGAACGCUGGCGGCGUGCCUAAUACAUGCAAGUCGAGCGCCUGCACAUUGCCCAUAAAUAAUUGUGGUCAACGUGCAGGAGCGGCGGACGGGUGAGUAACGCGUAGGAAUGUACCCCAAACUGAGGGAUAAGCCAAAGAAAUUUGGUCUAAUACCGCAUAUGGUCUUCGGAUUAAAGCUUCGGCGGUUUGGGAACAGCCUGCGUAGGAUUAGCUAGUUGGUAAGGUAAAAGCUUACCAAGGCUACGAUCCUUAACUGGUUUGAGAGGAUGACCAGUCACACUGGAACUGAGACACGGUCCAG
rnacentral:rRNA from 1 species